GAUGAACGCUGGCGGCGUGCUUAACACAUGCAAGUCGAGCGGGCAAUUUAUCUAGCACUGAUUACUUCAAAUGGAAAUCAUAAGUGUAAUCAUGAAUUUCUACCUUUAAUAAAGAAAAAAGAAAUUCAUGUACGCAAAUAGUGAUAACACAUUUUAGUGGAGUGAUGAGUGCUGGAUAAAUUGCUAGCGGCGGACGGGUGCGUAACACGUGGGUAACCUGCCCCUAUCACUGGGAUAACACACUGAAAAGUGUGCUAAUACCAGAUAAUAUAAGCUUUUGGCAUCAUUAGCUUAUCAAAGAAUUUCGGAUAGGGAUGGGCCCGCGUCUGAUUAGCUAGUUGGUGAGGUAACGGCUCACCAAGGCAACGAUCAGUAGCCGACCUGAGAGGGUGAUCGGCCACACUGGAACUGAGAC
rnacentral:rRNA from 1 species